CAGUCCAGGGGAAGGAUCGUGCAGUGUGAUCUAGGCAGACUCUGCACCUCUGAUUCCUGCUACCCCUGCACAGAGGUUGCCACUUUCAGCUAGGAGGCUCUGCGCAGCGCCCAUUCUCCAAAGUGCUCAGCUGGCCGCGAGCUAUGAUUGUAUACACCUGCAGUCAGCUCUUGGUCUUGAGGAUGAAG
rnacentral:lncRNA from 1 species